UUACCCUCAUCUGUGCAUUUCUUCUUCUUCCUCGUUGUCAUCUGGCUACCUCACCCCUCAUAUAUGGGCAAAAUAGUGCUUGCACUUUUACCCUCACCUGUACGUUUCCUCUUCUUCCUCAUUAUCAUCUGGCAACCUCACCCAUCAGAUUCUUCCUCUUCGACACCUGCCCUAUUCCCUUCCUACCUUUGUGCCAUCUCUCCCUUCUGCCCUUAGCUUGUGCAACACGAUUCUCUUCUCUUUAUUGGACCCGAUUCAUGUCCAAGAAGCCUGGUGGGAGUAUGUUGAGGGAGACCGAAUAAGAGUGGGAGAAACAGAGUGAGAGAGCUCGAGAGAGAUUGAAAGAGCAAGAGGAACCGGAGAUCAGGGAGGAAGAAAAGGUGAUCGGGGAGCAGUUAAGCCACAUACGAGUUAGUCAUUGAACCAAGGGCCCAGUUGAUCCAAGGGAAAAAAGAAGCUGGUGGGAGCUUCGCUAAGCUAAGGUGGAAGAGAAGAAGGAUUUAAACAACUAAUUGGUCAAUGUGAAAAAUUAAUAUAUUAUGUGUUUAUAUUUUUCCCUAUUUUUGAAGCAUGUAAACUGUACGGCUAUAAUUGUACGUACCUCCAUAAGGAGGAGUAGCUAGGGUUAGUUCUUGCAUAGCUGUGGGUUUAGUUUGUGUAUGUGUAUAGAUAUUGAUAUUAUAUAUGCGUGAUGAUAUGAAUGAUUUAGUUAUUUCCUAUGUAA